GAUGAACGCUAGCUACAGGCUUAACACAUGCAAGUCGAGGGGCAGCACUAGGUAGCAAUACUGAGGUGGCGACCGGCGCACGGGUGCGUAACGCGUAUCCAACCUUCCCGUUACUCUUGGAUAGCCUUCCGAAAGGGAGAUUAAUACAAGAUGGUAUUCAAAUUCCGCAUGUUAUUUGAAUUAAAGAUUUAUCGGUAACGGAUGGGGAUGCGUGACAUUAGAUAGUAGGCGGGGUAACGGCCCACCUAGUCUACGAUGUCUAGGGGUUCUGAGAGGAAGGUCCCCCACACUGGAACUGAGACACGGUCCAGACUCCUACGGGAGGCAGCAGUGAGGAAUAUUGGUCAAUGGUCGAGAGACUGAACCAGCCAUGCCGCGUGAAGGUCACGGCCCUAUGGGUCUUAAACUUCUUUUGCAAGGGAGCAAUAAGUCUCACGUGUGGGAUGAUGAGAGUACCUUGCGAAUAAGCAUCGGCUAACUCCGUGCCAGCAG
rnacentral:rRNA from 1 species